rnacentral:rRNA from 1 species
AUUGAACGCUGGCGGCAGGCCUAACACAUGCAAGUCGAGCGGAUGAAGGGAGCUUGCUCCUGGAUUCAGCGGCGGACGGGUGAGUAAUGCCUAGGAAUCUGCCUGGUAGUGGGGGAUAACGUCCGGAAACGGGCGCUAAUACCGCAUACGUCCUGAGGGAGAAAGUGGGGGAUCUUCGGACCUCACGCCAUCAGAUGAGCCUAGGUCGGAUUAGCUAGUUGGUGGGGUAACGGCCUACCAAGGCGACGAUCCGUAACUGGUCUGAGAGGAUGAUCAGUCACACUGGAACUGAGACACGGUCCAGACUCCUACGGGAGGCAGCAGUGGGGAAUAUUGGACGAAGGGCGAAAGCCUGAUCCAGCCAUGCCGCGUGUGUGAAGAAGGUCUUCGGAUUGUAAAGCACUUUAAGUUGGGAGGAAGGGCAGUAAGUUAAUACCUUGCUGUUUUGACGUUACCAACAGAAUAAGCACCGGCUAACUUCGUG